rnacentral:rRNA from 1 species
UACGAGAGGUGCAAGCGUUAUUCGGAAUCAUUGGGCGUAAAGGGUGCGUAGACGGCAUUGUAAGUCUGUUGUUAAAAUUCUUGGCCUAACCAAGAGUCUGCAACGGAUACUGCUUUGCUAGAGGGUGAGAGAGAGAAGUGGAAUUCUCGGAGUAGCGGUCAAAUGCGUAGAUCUCGAGAGGAACACCGAUGGCGAAGGCAGCUUCUUGGCUCAUUUCUGACGUUGAGGCACGAAAGCGUGGGGAGCAAACAGG